GGCGACGGGUGAGUAACCGUGGGCAAUCUGCCCUUCACUCUGGGACAAGCCCUGGAAACGGGGUCUAAUACCGGAUACCACUCCUGCCCGCAUGGGUGGGGGUUGAAAGCUCCGGCGGUGAAGGAUGAGCCCGCGGCCUAUCAGCUUGUUGGUGGGGUAAUGGCCCACCAAGGCGACGACGGGUAGCCGGCCUGAGAGGGCGACCGGCCACACUGGGACUGAGACACGGCCCAGACUCCUACGGGAGGCAGCAGUGGGGAAUAUUGCACAAUGGGCGAAAGCCUGAUGCAGCGACGCCGCGUGAGGGAUGACGGCCUUCGGGUUGUAAACCUCUUUCAGCAGGGAAGAAGCGAAAGUGACGGUACCUGCAGAAGAAGCGCCGGCUAACUACGUGCCAGCAGCCGCGGAUAAUACG
rnacentral:rRNA from 1 species